rnacentral:rRNA from 1 species
CCUACGGGAAGCAGCAGUGAGGAAUAUUGGUCAAUGGGCGCGAGCCUGAACCAGCCAAGUCGCGUGAGGGAAGACGGUCCUAUGGAUUGUAAACCUCUUUUGUCGGGGAGCAAAAGACGCCACGCGUGUCGUUCCAAGAGUACCCGAAGCAAAAGCAUCGGCUAACUCCGUGCCAGCAGCCGCGGUGAUACGGGGGAUGCGAGCUUUAUCCGAAGUUAUGGGGGUAAAAGGGUGCGCAGGCGGAAGAUCAAGUCAGCGGUAAAAUCGCGGGGCUCAACCUCGCUCCGCCGUUGAAACUGGCGUUCUUGAGUGGGCGAGAGGUAGGCGGAAUUCGUGGUGUAGCGGUGAAAUGCAUAGAUAUCACGAAGAACUCCGGUUGCGAAGGCAGCAUACCGGCGCCCAACUGACGCUGAGGCACGAAAGUGUGGGGAGCGAACAGGAUGAGAUACCCCAGUAGUC